rnacentral:lncRNA from 1 species
CACAGGAAGACAGGAACAGAAAACAGUUUUUGAAAAAAGGAAAUGUACCCAUCAGAACCACAGGAAAACACUUUUUGCUGGAAAAGCUGACGUGAGGGAAACAUGAAUUAACCCCAUGUCUUAGGAUUUUACUGCUGUGAACAGACACCGUGACCAAGGCAACUCAUAAAAACAUUUAAUCCGGGCUGACUUACAGGUUCAGAGAUUCAGUCCAUUAUCAUCAAGGCAGGAGCAUGGCAGCAUCCAGACAGCCAUGGUGCAGGAGGAGCUGAGAGUUCUGCAUCUUCAUCUGAAGACUGCUGGUGGAAGACUGACUUCCAGGCAGCUAGGGUGAGGGUCUUAAAACCCACUCCCAUGGUGACACAUAUACUCCAACAGGGCAACACCUCCACAUAGUGCCACUCCCUGGGCCAAGCAUUUAUAAACCAUCACACCCUUUUUCCAGAAGCCUCCCCUAAGGCAUUUACAAAAGGACAGGAUUAGAUAAAGACUAAGGCAUUCAUACACAGGUUGUGGUGCAUUAACUCUGUGGAACUGAGACUAGACAGUGGUUCUAGAUGUGGAGUUAGGGAUGUAGCUCAGUUGGUAAAAUGGCAGCCUAGCAUAUACAGGGCCUGGGUUCUCUCCUCAGCAGCACAGAAACUGCAUGCAUGGAGACACAUGCCCAUUGUCUCAGCACACAGGAGCUGAGAACAUAAGCUCAUUAUUAACUCCACAGAGAGCUCAAGGCCAAUCUGGACUAGACAUUCAGUCAAACAAGGAAUAACACCUUCAAAAAAACUCUCUCAGCAAUCCCUGUGGAAGUUGUUUUGAUACUCUGAUUUUGAACAUGUGGAAUGAAGCAAAUUAGGUUUUGAAAAUAUCAUUUAGUCUUAGCCUCUAUUUCCCAUAAUACCUUUGUAUUGCAGUAGAUUAAAACUAAUUCUGCUCAUUAAAUUAUUGUUCAACUGAGAGUUUUUAUUAAAAUCUGAGAAGACUAUAAUCAA